GACGAACGCUGGCGGCGUGCCUAAUACAUGCAAGUAGAACGCACAGUUUAUACCGUAGCUUGCUACACCAUAAACUGUGAGUUGCGAACGGGUGAGUAACGCGUAGGUAACCUGCCUGGUAGCGGGGGAUAACUAUUGGAAACGAUAGCUAAUACCGCAUAAUAUUAAUUAUUGCAUGAUAAUUGAUUGAAAGAUGCAAUUGCAUCACUACCAGAUGGACCUGCGUUGUAUUAGCUAGUAGGUGAGGUAACGGCUCACCUAGGCGACGAUACAUAGCCGACCUGAGAGGGUGAUCGGCCACACUGGGACUGAGACACGGCCCAGACUCCUACGGGAGGCAGCAGUAGGGAAUCGUCGGCAAUGGACGAAAGUCUGACCGAGCAACGCCGCGUGAGUGAAGAAGGUUUUCGGAUCGUAAAGCUCUGUUGUAAGAGAAGAACGGGUGUGAGAGUGGAAAGUUCACACUGUGACGGUAUCUUACCAGAAAGGGACGGCUAACUACGUG
rnacentral:rRNA from 1 species